CAAGGAGGGGACGCAGCGGGGCUAGCCAUUUCAUUUACAUCUGCAUGGGGCCGGGGCUGAUGCCCCCUGGGGCUGGGUUGAGGGUGGAGGAGCCUAAGGACCCGCCGCCCUCCCCUAGGAGUCUGGGGUACAGCCCUGAGCUUCAGUCUGGGGAAAAAAUACAGGGACAGACGAGGCUCCUCCGAAAACAGCCAAGUGCAUGCAGGGGUUCGCCUGGGGAAAGCAGAGGCGUUUGGCUAUUGCUGUGUGAGAUCGGGGGGCUGGGGAGGAGGGACAGGAAUAAACCCUGAAGACUACCUCAAGGCAGAGCCGACAGUAAAGGUAGCUGAGCGCGGACUGCCUGCCUGGUGUCCUCUGGCCUGGCCGCUGCCGCAAGCUGGCGAGGGGAGGGGGGCAUCCAGAUGUGAAUUUGCAGUCUGCCAUUCGGGGGGUUUCUUGGGACCAAGCAGCAUGAAGACACGCGUCCCCCCCGCAGUUUUAUGACCGUGUUUAUCAAAGAGUGAUGCUCCCUGCAUCCCUGCAUGGGGGAGCGAGGCGCCCGCCUCCCUCCUCCCCAGCCGGGGCGCGGGUGCGGACCCACACCUCCUCCCCUUUCAGUCUGCGCGAAAGGGAUUCUCAGCAAAACAGCAGCCCCGCUGCAGAGCAGACUUCGAACAAAGGAGGCAGCGCACAGGGCCUGCGCACAUGGCCUCCCCGAGCAGCACCUGCCGGCGCGAUCUCGGGACCCCGGCACCCCGCUCACCUUUCUGCCAGGGCCGGGAUGUGUCCUGUGAGCUGAGGAUACAGAAUCAAGAAACAACCUGGGGACACACCGAUCUCCCCAAUCUUGAUGAAACUUCGAGCAGGGGGAAGUAACCUGCAGACAUCCCGGCGGUGCCGUCAGGAGCAGCCCCAGGCCGGCUCAGGCACUUAUAAAAUGACCUGUGUGGAGGACAGCCCAAUAAAAAGAGCUCUCGCCAGCAUGGGGGUGCACGCCUGUAAUCCCAG